GUUACAGUUGUGACAUGUCAUUAUUCAAAGAGAUCAGCGAUCAGAGCAUCUAACUUUAAAGGAGCUGGCAACAGAACUCCAAAAGUAAACAUAGCAAUCAACCCUCCGGGACCAGAAGAGCAAGCAAGAGCUUGUUUCUUUUCCUUCCUGAGGCAAACCAAGGGAUGGCUGGCUCCCUGUGGGAAAAACAGGUCUCCACUUCUGAUCAUGAUCUGAAGGAGCAGGAGGCUGGCUGGGCUGGGGCAGGGCGUAGCUCAGCAGUGGAGCGCUUACCUAACUUGUGGAAGGCCCUGGAUUCCACCCCUAGCACCAAAGAAAGAAUUUACCAGGUUAGAGACAAGGGCCUGGUCACACUUUCCGUGUGUAACAACUGUUACACAAACUCACACGCCAUAGUGGAAAUGAAUCCAGCGCCUGACGCCAUCUUCAGCCUGACGCCAUCUUCAGGGACUGUGCCCAUAAGCCCUUGCUCUCGCCACACCCCCAGAACACUCAAGAUCUGACCUACCUACCAGAGGAAGUUGAAGAAAAUACUGGAAAGGAAGUAAAGGAAGUGAACACACGUUCUAGCUCUCCUUCGGGAAGGUUCUAGAAUUAAUUCUACCCCUUCAAGGUUGGGGAAAUCCAACCUAAAAUCCCCUCUUUCCCUCUCAGUCGACUUCCUCCUCCUCUCUCUCUUCCCCUGCCUUUGUGGCCUUUGUGGUGUUCUUAAUGUUAGAUAUCUCUUCAUCCUUUCCCCUUCUCCUCCCCUGAGGCCCCCUCUCGAUAGUCCAGCAGUAAGCCCAGUACACAGGCCCUGGCAAACACAGAUGACCGCACUGCAGGGCCAGGACUAAACGGAGCAGAGGGAAGUGGCAGAUCCCAUUUUCAACAUGUUGAGAUGGACGGAUGUGGCAGCAAGAGGAUCAGGAACAAGCUUGGGGAAGGACGCGUCCAUCAAAUUCUGUAUGGUCAGCUCUACCAAUCAGCUGGCUGAGGUCUCUUUGCUGUACUCGGAAGUCACAACUAGGAAAGGAAGAGGUCUUCUAAUUUUGGCCAACCAGGGUUCUUCAAUACCGAGAGCUUAUGGGCUAGACAGACAGACGCAGAAGCUUGUAGCUGCUGAGAACUAGAGGCUUCUUCUGGCUCCAGGCUACAGGGGAAGACUUAUGUUUCUAAGUGUUCAGGUUGCAGGCAAAUUGCUCUGAGCUUUGAUUGCCAGUGGCCUGGCAUUUGGUAGCUAACACAAUCCUGGACUCCUAGCAGCAGCAGACAGCAGUAGCCAUUGGGACCAGUUAGCACCAUCAUUCCCAAGCCAUGGAUGCUGGGACCCACAGCUCAUCACAGCAGCUAAUGCUACAGCUCUUGAGCCUUGUGUGUUGGGCCCUUGGUCCUGCUGUUACAGCUCACGAACCUUGGGUGUCAGAAUGCAGAGCACACAGUCCCCUGGCUUUAGCUCUCCACAGCCUCCUUCCUACUUGGACCACACUUUAUCCCCUCUGCAGUCUCUGCCCCAAUCCCUUCUCGGGAACUAUUUGUUCGGGUGCCCCCUUGCCACUGUGGCUGCCGUUUUAUAUUUACUGUUCCGCUCUGCGUUAUCAUCUCAGCCCUCUCUACUUGUGAUAAAAAUCAAAAGUAGACAAAGAAGAAGCAUUUGGAAGGCUUUCUUGGGCCAGAUGCUACACUACUAAAAAGAACAGGAAGGUGUUCCCUAGCUGACUGGAAAAAUAAGCUGAAAAAUAAGUCAUACUGUCAGAAGGGGGUGGGGUAGCGUGCUCACACUGAUGCAAGCCUUCGGCCGGGUCGCUGUGGGAAGUGCUCCCUGUUCUGCCUAGGUGAAAAUGGGUACAGAGUGACCUGGAGUUUGUCAAGGCUUGUCUUGCUUAGAAUGCUGCUUCCUAAAGCCAGGGCAGGCUGUCUGGAGUGGUCGUGACUGAACCAUGUCUUCAGCCACAGCUAUUAGGAUUGUUCACAGAGCGAUUGUAAAGUGUCCAAAUUAGCCAGGAAACAGUGAGGGCUAUCUGUCCAGUGAUCAGGAAAGGAGGUAUGUGGCUGGCAGUUCCCUGCUCAGGUCUGCCGGGAAUAAAGGGUCUGUCUGCUGACAUCCAAGGACCUGAA